rnacentral:rRNA from 1 species
GACGAACGCUGGCGGCGUGCUUAACACAUGCAAGUCGAACGAUGAAGCCGGAGCUUGCUCUGGUGAAUUAGUGGCGAACGGGUGAGUAACACGUGAGUAACCUGCCCUUGACUCUGGGAUAACUGCGGGAAACUGUAGCUAAUACCGGAUACGACCCUCGGAGGCAUCUCCUGGGGGUGGAAAGAAUUUCGGUCAAGGAUGGACUCGCGGACUAUCAGCUAGUUGGUGAGGUAAAGGCUCACCAAGGCGACGACGGGUAGCCGGCCUGAGAGGGUGACCGGCCACACUGGGACUGCGACACGGCCCAGACUCCUACGGGAGGCAGCAGUGGGGAAUAUUGCACAAUGGGCGCAAGCCUGAUGCAGCAACGCCGCGUGAGGGAUGCCGGCCUUCGGGUUGUAAACCUCUUUUAGCAGGGAAGAAGCGAAAGUGACGGUACCUGCAGAAAAAGCACCGGCUAACUACGUGCCAGCCGCCGCGGUAA